GUGUGUAAUUUAAAAAAAAUACCAAGCUGUGACCUUGAUAAUAGGAAGCUCCUCU
rnacentral:tRNA from 1 species